rnacentral:rRNA from 1 species
AGGCCUCUGGGCUGUAAACCUCUUUUCUCAAGGAAGAAGAUCUGACGGUACUUGAGGAAUAAGCCACGGCUAAUUCCGUGCCAGCAGCCGCGGUAAUACGGGAGUGGCAAGCGUUAUCCGGAAUUAUUGGGCGUAAAGCGUCCGCAGGCGGCCUUGUAAGUCUGUUGUUAAAGCGUGGAGCUUAACUCCAUUUCAGCAAUGGAAACUAUAAGGCUUGAGUGUGGUAGGGGCAGAGGGAAUUCCCGGUGUAGCGGUGAAAUGCGUAGAUAUCUGGAAGAACACCAGUGGCGAAGGCGCUCUGCUGGGCCAUAACUGACGCUCAUGGACGAAAGCCAGGGGAGCGAAAGGGAUUAGAUACCCCUGUAGUCCUGGCCGUAAACGAUGAACACUAGGUGUCGGGGGAAUCGACCCCCUCGGUGUCGUAGCCAACGCGUUAAGUGUUCCGCCUGGGGAGUACGCACGCAAGUGUGAAACUCAAAGGAAUUGACGGGGGCCCGCACAAGCGGUGGAGUAUGUGGUUUAAUUCGAUGCAACGCGAAGAACCUUACCAGGGUUUGACAUCCUGCGAACCCCUGAGAAAUCGGUGGGUGCCUUCGGGAACGCAGUGACAGGUGGUGCAUGGCUGUCGUCAGCUCGUGUCGUGAGAUGUUGGGUUAAGUCCCGCAACGAGCGCAACCCACGUCUUUAGUUGCCAGCAUUCAGUUGGGCACUCUAGAGAGACCGCCGGUGAUAAACCGGAGGAAGGUGUGGAUGACGUCAAGUCAUCAUGCCCCUUACAUCCUGGGCUACACACGUACUACAAUGCUACGGACAAAGGGCAGCAA